GUCCUCCCAUUGCUUACUCAGUCAACUCUGUGGUCUUCUUUUCCUGGCACUGUUCCCUGAGUCUGUAAGUUAGUGUAAGUGG